CGUCAAAGCAGGGUUUGCAACUUCAGCGAUUGGAGUCGUCUGCGAAGACUUAAGCAGAGAGUGAAGCCCAGAGAUUCUGAUUUAAUUGGUCUGGGGUAUGUCCUACGCAUCGAGACUUUUAAAUUCCGCAGGUAAAUCCAACAUGUUACCGAGGUGGAGAACCACUGAGCUACCGUCUUGAACAUAGCUUUUGCAUUUUUAUUUUACCGCGCGCGCACACACCCCCACGCACCUGCCCCAUAAAUGUCCUUCCCUAGUUUCGAGUCAAGGAAGAACCCUCUUCAUUCAACCUUGCUGGGGCCCAGUAGUCUAGCUCCUGUUGUCAUAGCAACAGAGAGGCAAGCCCCUGCCAACAAGUCAUCCUUAACGUCAUAGCCACCUGACCUGAACACCCGUGAACACGUCUCUUCCGCGGGCCGGGGGUUCCCUAGUUUCCGGGGCUGGGGGAUGGUGCUGCAGACUCCUUCAGCUGCUUGGGUCAGGGAGAGGAAUCCUGUGCCCUCCGUGGUGGAGCUGCUGUUAAGUCCUUCCCAGCUGAAAAAAUCCAUCUGACUGAAAGGUGGAGGAUGGAUUAGAUGGGUCCAGAUGGGAAGCAGAAACACCUGUUGGGAGGCUUCUGUGAACAGGCUACCUGUGAACAGGUCUCAUGUGGGAAAUCAGCCUCUCUGCUGUGGACAUCAUCUGGAGAGAAAAGCUUGGACAUGGAGAAAGAGAGGUCCAGCCAUCCCAGCAUUCCAGCUGUUGCCCCCGGAGUGGGAGACAAGCAAGCCAGCCAUCAUGGACAUUCCAGCUCCAGUUACCUUCUGACUGUGGCCACAAGAGACACCCCCAACUAAGACAGCAGAGCUGUCCAGACAAUGUGGGCAGCUUUCCUGUCUGCGUGGGAGGAGGAGGUUGGAAGCUCCAUCUCUGGAACAGACCUCGAUGAGAGGGGGCAGAGGAAGGAGUGUUCUGCCCCCCAUCCCUGCGAGAGCAGUACCCAGCAGAGUGCGGUUUUGGCUUGAAGGAGCAAGGGGGAGAGGACUUCAGCAGGAUGAACAGGCUUAUGAGCCCAGGGGUAAGUCCAUCCGACUCUUUCCUGAGGGGCAGGAAGUUGCUCCAAGGGAAAGAUGUCAGAGGUGGGUUGGGAUAGCGUGCAAAGUGCUUGAGUGCCAGGUGCCCAAGGACCCUGGUGGGGCACUGACCAGAACCUCUGUUCUCACUGACUAUUAGCCUCCAGCUUGUAGGAGAGCUCGAAGAGGAGGUUCUGGUUGUCGAUGACCUGGAACUGGCGCACAUAGGCCUUGGUCUGCAGGUGAUGGGGGGAUGCCUCCAUAUCCAGGCCUGGAGGUGUGACAAGAGAGAGGCCUUCAGGCUCCCAGCCUCCCUUCUUGCUCUACAUGCCUACCAGCCAGAGAAGAGGGGUGUGGAUUGGGACAGGAGGGUCCCUAGAGAGGCCAAAGAGAGGAUGGAGAGCUGACAAGUUUAAGGAAAUAAAGAAUUGAGGAUGGUCUCCUCCCGGAAUCCUCCCGCUCAGUCAAAGCUCUACCUGUAAAGCUCUUAGAAGCCUGGGUACUCACAAAGGGGCCGGCUCCGGUAUUUGCGGAUUGUCCUCACCUUUUCAGCCACUGAAUGCUGGGAGAUGACAAGAAAUGAGCCCUAAAAAGGGUACAGAAAGAUGCUCCCCCCUCUUAUGCUCCCCCUGGUCUAUUCUCCAACUCUGCUGGUUUGACUCCACUCCCUCCAGGGUCUAAUUCUGGAGGGUCUCUGAAGAACCAAAGAAGGGGUGUAAUGGGGCCGGUGAGGGGAGGUAGAGUUGCCCCCCCCCCCCCAGCUCCCUGUCAGCUUUGUGGCCUGUGGGCGUGUUGCCACAGCAAUGGCAGCAGGGACAGUCAGGAGUCUGUCAGGCAAGCUGGGCACCAAGAAGGAAGGCUGCUGCCUUUAGGGGGCUACCAGGAUGGGGGUGGGGGGGAAGGAUGCCGGCCCCUGCUCCCAGGCCAGGGUAGGCCGUGCCACUCACCAGCUUCUCAAUGUUCACCAAACCAUCAACAAGAGUCUUACUCCCCUCAUGCAGGAAAGUCAGGUCUAGGGGAGGGAAGAGAAACAAAUGUGAGGAAGAAGAGAGGAGAUCCAAAGGGCCCUUCCCCUCCCCCACGACCCCUCAGUGCGGGGCUCCUCUCCAGUGGGCAUUCAGAGCUAAGUGACAGUGGUUGAUAGCCGGAACUGAGGCACAGAGACUGUGGCCAGAAGAGCAUGGGAUUGACUCUCACCUUUGAGGAUCAGAGGCACAAAGGGAAUCACAGGAGGUUUCAUCUUGGAGAUGACUUCUCGGUAGCUUUUGUGGUUCCUGCAGGGGUCCUGGCAUUCCGCAGAAGAGAGGUUAGGGGACACAUAGUCCCAGCGUACCUCAAAGAUGCCCCCUACUCCUCCCUCAUCCCCCUGCCCUAGAUCCAUCUCUGAUCAAAGAGAGGUAUGUAUGGGUGUCUAGCUGGGGGUGAGAUGGGGAGGAGCUUGACUGUCCUCCCCUCACCUCCAAGGCAAACAGGGCAGCAAUCCACCCACCCUUCCCCCUCCCAGCAUGCCAGGGGAAGGGUCUUGGGCACUAAAAACCUUAAAGGCAAGGUUUGUGGGAACAGAGGGUCUCUGGGGUGCAAGCCCAGGGGCAGAUAAAAGAGCUGAACCCACUCACUGUCAGGUUCUCAAAUUUGCGGAACAAAUUCUUGAAUUUCCCGGGCAGCUUCUGCAGAGAGUUUGAAGGAAGGAGAAGGAAUGUCAGACUGGAGCUCCUUGCGUUUCAGGGCAGCUCUGGCUAAUCCCCAGGUGUCAGAGGGGGAAAGGGCCCGGCUAUCUUGCAAGGGGCUGGCAAGCUGGUCUGGUGGGUAGGGAAAUAGAAUCAGCCCUUGGUGAGGUCUGGGGAGCUUGAAGCAGCCCGGAGGAAUGAAUUAUUCUGGGGAAUUCGAGCCUCUGCGUUGGCAUUGCCACGCACAAGGGGCCUCACUGAGCGCUGGCUGGAAUCCAGCAUCCAAGUCUGCGACCUGGCCUGGGCUGCCUGCCCCCCUCUCCGGCGGGGAUUCCGGCUUUUUACUAAUUUGCACAAGGACAGGGCGCAUUAACCUAGCGGCGUGCCCCGGGCCUGGAUCUGCCAGAAGAGGGCGCCUCCUUCCGCCUGGCACAAAGGCUCCCUAAGGGCCAGCCGCACCGCGGGAGGCAGCACCGGGGUGAACCCGGCAGGCCAAGAUCCCCGAGCCGGGCCGGCCCAGGCGGGAGGAGAGGAGAGGGCAGCCAUGCAUCACCUCCCAGAUUGGAGACGUAAGGCUUAGAGGGUCUGGGGGUGAAUUGCCCGAGGGCACCCCGCCAGCCACCUUCUAAUGCAAAGUUCAGCUGCACACAUGGCCCGUCUCCAGGACCCCACGUUGGCACAUUUCUCCCUCCAGGCCCCCAGCCCAGCACCACCUUCAGUCCCCACCUCGUGCACACAUCGAAACAGCUCCCAGUGGAAGGCAGUAAGGUGGUUGGCGACGUCCUCAGGCUCCACUCGGUGGAUCUCUGUGUCUCCAGGGGAGACCUGGAUCUCCUCGGGGAGGGGCAUCUGGUGACAGGCAGGGACACAGGGGCUGGGCUCCACUCUGGGCUUGUGAGUUUCUGCCCGUAGUCCCUCUGGGCCCUCACUCCCAGCCAACGCCUCGUGACGGAGUUCUUACCAGCGCCUCAUAGCUGUCGCGGGUGCAGGCAAACAGGUGACUGUUGAUGCCCAGCGUGGUGAAGACACAGUCUUCAGUCGGCUGGAGAAGGACCUUCUCUGCAGGAGAACGAGCUGUUCUGCCUCAGCCCUGGCUAUCUGCACCCUCACACACCCCAGCCACUGUCGCCAUCCCGUCUAGAAACUCCUAACCCUGCAUGGACACAUUCUAGACGAAUGGGACUGCUGUUAUCACCAGUUUGUGCCACAUUCAUCUGAAAUUUUCAAAUAAUGAUUUCCUCCGCAUUCA